rnacentral:rRNA from 1 species
CUACGGGCCGCAGCAGUGAGGAAUUUUGCGCAAUGGGGGAAACCCUGACGCAGCAACGCCGCGUGAGUGAUGAAGGCUCUUGGGUCGUAAAGCUCUGUCAGCAGGGAAGAAGUUAUAUAUGCUUAAUACGUAUAUAUAUUGACGGUACCUGCAAAGGAAGCAUCGGCUAACUCCGUGCCAGCAGCCGCGGUAACACGGGGGAUGCAAGCGUUAUUCGGAAUUAUUGGGCGUAAAGGGCGCGUAGGCGGCUUGCAGGGUCAGAUGUGAAAGCCCGGGGCUUAACCCCGGAAGAGCAUUUGAAACCGGUAGGCUUGAGUAUGGGAGAGGGAAGUGGAAUUCCUGGUGUAGAGGUGAAAUUCGUAGAUAUCAGGAGGAACACCGGUGGCGAAGGCGACUUCCUGGACCAAUACUGACGCUGAGGCGCGAAGGCGUGGGGAGCAAACAGGAUUAGAUACCCCAGUAGUC